UACAGAGGGGGCAAGCGUUGUUCGGAAUUACUGGGCGUAAAGGGCGCGUAGGCGGCCUUCUAAGUCGAACGUGAAAUCCCCGGGCUCAACCCGGGAACUGCGUCCGAUACUGGAAGGCUUGAAUCCGGGAGAGGGAUGCGGAAUUCCAGAUGUAGCGGUGAAAUGCGUAGAUAUCUGGAGGAACACCGGUGGCGAAGGCGGCAUCCUGGACCGGCAUUGACGCUGAGGCGCGAAAGCCAGGGGAGCAAACGGG
rnacentral:rRNA from 1 species